rnacentral:rRNA from 2 species
AGACCCGAAACCCGGUGAUCUAGCCAUGGGCAGGUUGAAGGUUGGGUAACACUAACUGGAGGACCGAACCGACUAAUGUUGAAAAAUUAGCGGAUGACCUGUGGCUGGGGGUGAAAGGCCAAUCAAACCGGGAGAUAGCUGGUUCUCCCCGAAAGCUAUUUAGGUAGCGCCUCGUGAAUUCAUCUCCGGGGGUAGAGCACUGUUUCGGCUAGGGGGCCAUCCCGGCUUACCAACCCGAUGCAAACUGCGAAUACCGGAGAAUGUUAUCACGGGAGACACACGGCGGGUGCUAACGUCCGUCGUGAAGAGGGAAACAACCCAGACCGCCAGCUAAGGUCCCAAAGUCAUGGUUAAGUGGGAAACGAUGUGGGAAGGCCCAGACAGCCAGGAUGUUGGCUUAGAAGCAGCCAUCAUUUAAAGAAAGCGUAAUAGCUCACUGGUCGAGUCGGCCUGCGCGGAAGAUGUAACGGGGCUAAACCAUGCACCGAAGCUGCGGCAGCGAACGUAUCACUUAAAGCGAUUCAGCGGGUUACGAUUGACGGAGCGAAGCGACGUCAAAGCGUAUACAAAGUCGAGUCGGUUUAAGGAUACGUUCGUUGGGUAGGGGAGCGUUCUGUAAGCCUGUGAAGGUGUGUCGUGAGGCAUGCUGGAGGUAUCAGAAGUGCGAAUGCUGACAUAAGUAACGAUAAAGCGGGUGAAAAGCCCGCUCGCCGGAAGACCAAGGGUUCCUGUCCAACGUUAAUCGGGGCAGGGUGAGUCGACCCCUAAGGCGAGGCCGAAAGGCGUAGUCGAUGGGAAACGGGUUAAUAUUCCCGUACUUGGUGUUACUGCGAAGGGGGGACGGAGAAGGCUAUGUUGGCCGGGCGACGGUUGUCCCGGUUUAAGCGUGUAGGUGUGUGUUCCAGGUAAAUCCGGUUCACUUUAACACUGAGGCGUGAUGACGAGGCACUACGGUGCUGAAGCAACAAAUGCCCUGCUUCCAGGAAAAGCCUCUAAGCAUCAGGUAACAUCAAAUCGUACCCCAAACCGACACAGGUGGUCAGGUAGAGAAUACCAAGGCGCUUGAGAGAACUCGGGUGAAGGAACUAGGCAAAAUGGUGCCGUAACUUCGGGAGAAGGCACGCUGACAUGUAGGUGAAGUGAUUUACUCA